AGGAACGAUCUGCACAAAUUAGAGAGUCUCCAUCUCCCAAGUACCAAAUUGGAAACAGCUUUGGUCUCUGAGCAGGGGUUCUCUGCAACAGAGUGGGAGCAGACUUGGAAGCAACGCCGACCUCUUUGUGAGCCAGAAAGUCAGCCUCCGGGAAUGAACGGAAGGAGGACAGUGUUGCAGAAAUGAAUGUGGGAACUGCCCCCCGGUUACUUUGGGAGAUGUGGGUGGCAACGUGAUGGAGCUCGCUGAUGGCUCGAC